AGGCCCAGGAGCAGGACCAGGCCCAGCCAGUAUAUCUAAAACAGUCAACCUUGAAGCAAGAACAUCUGAAGGAAAAUGAUCUUAUUUAAGAAACUAUUGUCAUGGAUUUUCCUCAUAAUGAAACAAGCAUUUGAACAUUUUGCAAUUGCUUUUUUUGGAAACCCAGCCAAGGAGUCUUCAGUUACUAAGAUACAGGUACCUGUGUCUGUAAACUACCAUUUUACACGUGUUUGCAACUAUUCUUGCGGUUUCUGCUUUCAUACUGCUAAAACAUCAUAUAUUCUGCAAA